rnacentral:rRNA from 1 species
CAAACCAAAGCUGGCGACCGGCGCACGGGUGAGUAACACGUAUCCAACCUGCCUCAUACUCGGGGAUAGCCCUUCGAAAGAAAGAUUAAUAUCCGAUAGCAUAUAUUUCCCGCAUGGGUUUUAUAUUAAAGAAAUUCGGUAUGAGAUGGGGAUGCGUUCCAUUAGUUUGUUGGGGGGUAACGGCCCACCAAGACUACGAUGGAUAGGGGUUCUGAGAGGAAGGUCCCCCACAUUGGAACUGAGACACGGUCCAA